UUCUUCCUUUUCUUACCCCUCACAUUUUCAGGAUCAGGACCUGGGUACCAAACUGAGCUAUCAGCACCAUAUCACAAUUCACCACAGGCAUUAUGACAAACCUAUUGUGCCUGAAGAGAUGGGGAAAUAAAAAGACCAAGCUGACAUGGAGGCUAACAUGCUGACACAGCUCACAAAGCUUUGUGCACAGAUUGAGAACGACUGCUGUUCUGGAGACUGAGGAAGACAGACUGAAUAACUGCAGCAGGGCUCCUCAUCCGGAAGGGGGAAGAGCUAUUUUUUCCUGAGCAUCCUCUGGGGGAUGGUUCAGCUGGAAAGCUGCUGAAGACAGGUACAAUUUGAGCCCUUUUUUCAUGAGGAAGGGAGUUAGAGUGGUGAGAUACUGUUGGAGUCUGACAGUUUAGGCAUCAACAAAAAUACAACAUACUCCAGUGAUGUUGCUCUGUCAACACUUUGGAACAGACCCAAGUACCUCCUUGAAGCUGUGCUGAUUGACAAGCUGCUGACAAGCCCAAGCCAGUUUGAAGGAUGUUAGUACUGUUACUGUCUCUGCUGUAUUUGAGCUGAGGUUACAUGCAAAUUCAUGAUCAUGGUCCUGAUAAGCUCUGCAUUGGUCUUUAAAUAUUAUGGUUUUUUUCUUGCACACAUUUCCCUUUUAGCAUGAACAUACUUGAUCCACAGGCAGUGUGAAAAGACAAUUGAUAAGAAUCUCUAAUCAAAUUGUGUAUUUCACAAAAGAAUCCUGCAUGUCAAUCCAAAAACUAGAACUGUCCCUGUCAAACUUUUGGCACAAGGAGCUAGAAUGAUGUAU